AAACAUGUCUUUUUGAGUUAUUUUUAAAGUCUAACCUGCCCAAUGAAUUUAUAUUUUAAUGGCCGCAGUAAUUUAACUGUGCAAAGGUAGCAUAAUCAGUAGUCUUUUAAUUGAAGGCUGGAAUGAACGGUUGGACGAAGUAUUAACUGUUUCAUAUGAAUUUAUUAUAGAAUUUUAUAUUUUAGUAAAAAAGCUAAAAUUUUGUUAAAAGACGAGAAGACCCUAUAAAUCUUUAUAAUUAUUAAUUAUCUAAUUUUUUUGAUGAGGUUUAUUUUUUUAUUAAUAAUUAUUUUAUUGGGGUGAUAUUAAAAUUUAAUUAACUUUUAAUUGUUGUAAUUCAUUUAUUUAUGUUUUAAUGAUCCAUUAAUAGUGAUUAAAAGAGUAAGUUACUUUAGGGAUAACAGCGUAAUUUUUUUGGAGAGUUCUUAUCGAUAAUAAAGUUUGCGACCUCGAUGUUGGAUUAAGAAAAAUUUUAGGUGUAGUAGCUUAAUUAUUAAGUCUGUUCGACUUUUAAAUUCUUACAUGAUC
rnacentral:rRNA from 1 species